GGCUCUGUGGCGCAAUGGAUAGCGCAUUGGACUUCUAAUUCAAAGGUUGUGGGUUCGAAUCCCACCAGAGUCA